rnacentral:rRNA from 1 species
CGAGAAAGCCCGCAAGGGUGAGUAAAGCGGCGCACGGGUGCGUAACACGUGGGUAAUCUGCCCUGGAGUCCGGAAUAACUCGCCGAAAGGCGUGCUAAUGCCGGAUGAGACCACGGGAGCCUCGGCUCCUGCGGAAAAAGGUGGCCUCUGUACACAAGCUAUCACUCCAGGAUGAGCCCGCGGCCCAUCAGCUAGUUGGCGGGGUAAUGGCCCACCAAGGCAACGACGGGUAGCUGGUCUGAGAGGACGAUCAGCCACACUGGAACUGAGACACGGUCCAGACUCCUACGGGAGGCAGCAGUGGGGAAUCUUGCGCAAUGGGCGAAAGCCUGACGCAGCAACGCCGCGUGUGUGUUGAAGGUCUUCGGAUCGUAAAGCACUGUCGCGAGGGACG